rnacentral:rRNA from 1 species
GACGAACGCUGGCGGCGUGCUUAACACAUGCAAGUCGAACGGAAAGGCCCUGCUUUUGUGGGGUGCUCGAGUGGCGAACGGGUGAGUAACACGUGAGUAACCUGCCCUUGACUUUGGGAUAACUUCAGGAAACUGGGGCUAAUACCGGAUAGGAGCUCCUGCUGCAUGGUGGGGGUUGGAAAGUUUCGGCGGUUGGGGAUGGACUCGCGGCUUAUCAGCUUGUUGGUGGGGUAGUGGCUUACCAAGGCUUUGACGGGUAGCCGGCCUGAGAGGGUGACCGGCCACAAUGGGACUGAGAUACCGCCCAGACUCCUACGGGAGGCAGCAGUGGGGAAUAUUGCACAAUGGGCGGAAGCCUGAUGCAGCAACGCCGCGUGCGGGAUGACGGCCUUCGGGUUGUAAACCGCUUUCGCCUGUGACGAAGCGUGAGUGACGGUAAUGGGUAAAGAAGCACCGGCUAACUACGUG